rnacentral:lncRNA from 1 species
AGCAUAUCUUCUUCUUCUUCUUCUUCUUCUUCUUCUUCUUCUUCUUCUUCUUCUUCUUCUUCUUCUUCUUCUUCUUCUUCUUCUUCUUCUUCUUCUUCUUCUUCUUCUUCUUCUUCUUCUUCUUCUUCUUCUUCUUCUUCUUCUUCUUCUUCUUCUUCUUCUUCUUCUUCUUCUUCUUCUUCUUCUUCUUCUUCUUCUUCUUCUUCUUCUUCUUCUUCUUCUUCUCUCUCUUUCCCUCUCUCUUCUUCUUCUUCUUCUUCUUCUUCUUCUUCUUCUUCUUCUUCUUCUUCUUCUUCUUCUUCUUCUUCUUCUUCUUCUUCUUCUUCUUCUUCUUCUUCUUCUUCUUCUUCUUCUCUCUGUCUGUCUCUCC